rnacentral:rRNA from 1 species
UACGAAGGGGGCUAGCGUUGCUCGGAAUCACUGGGCGUAAAGCGCACGUAGGCGGAUCUUUAAGUCAGGGGUGAAAUCCUGGAGCUCAACUCCAGAACUGCCUUUGAUACUGAGGAUCUUGAGUUCGGGAGAGGUGAGUGGAACUGCGAGUGUAGAGGUGAAAUUCGUAGAUAUUCGCAAGAACACCAGUGGCGAAGGCGGUCUGCUGGGCCGUUGCUGACGCUGAUGCGCGACAGCGUGGGGAGCAAACAGG